rnacentral:rRNA from 1 species
GUGGGGAAUAUUGGACAAUGGGCGCAAGCCUGAUCCAGCAAUGCCGCGUGGGUGAAGAAGGUCUUCGGAUCGUAAAGCCCUUUCGACAGGGACGAUGAUGACGGUACCUGUAGAAGAAGCCCCGGCUAACUUCGUGCCAGCAGCCGCGGUAAUACGAAGGGGGCUAGCGUUACUCGGAAUUACUGGGCGUAAAGGGCGCGUAGGCGGCUCUGUUAGUCAGGCGUGAAAUUCCUGGGCUUAACCUGGGGACUGCGCUUGAUACUGCAGGGCUUGAGGCCGAGAGAGGGUGGUGGAAUUCCCAGUGUAGAGGUGAAAUUCGUAGAUAUUGGGAAGAACACCGGUGGCGAAGGCGACCACCUGGCUCGGUUCUGACGCUGAGGCGCGACAGCGUGGGGAGCAAACAGGAUUAGAAACCCUUGUAGUCC